rnacentral:rRNA from 1 species
CCUACGGGAGGCAGCAGUGGGGAAUAUUGCACAAUGGGGGAAACCCUGAUGCAGCGACGCCGCGUGAGUGAAGAAGUAUUUCGGUAUGUAAAGCUCUAUCAGCAGGGAAGAAAUAAAGUCCUUCGGACUUUGGACGGUACCUGACUAAGAAGCCCCGGCUAACUACGUGCCAGCAGCCGCGGUAAUACGUAGGGGGCAAGCGUUAUCCGGAUUUACUGGGUGUAAAGGGAGCGUAGACGGCAGCGCAAGUCUGGAGUGAAAUCCCAUGGCUUAACCAUGGAACUGCUUUGGAAACUGUGCAGCUGGAGUGCAGGAGAGGUAAGCGGAAUUCCUAGUGUAGCGGUGAAAUGCGUAGAUAUUAGGAGGAACACCAGUGGCGAAGGCAGCUUACCAAACUACGACUGACGUUGAGGCACGAAAGCGUGGGGAGCAAACAGGAUUAGAUACCCUAGUAGUC